rnacentral:rRNA from 1 species
UCGUCUUUUGUGCACAAGUAUAAAAGAUAAUGCCUGCCCAGUGAACCUAUUUAAACGGCCGCGUUAGCGUGAGCGUGCUAAGGUAGCGUAAUAAUUAGCCUCUUAAUUGGAGGCCAGUGAAAGGCAACACGAGGAACACCUAUACUUUAUGUGUUAAAAAAACUUUUCUUCUAAGUGAAAAGCCUUAGAUACUAAAAGAAGACGAAAAGACCCCGCGGAACUUUACCUUUUCUCUAGAUUUAUUAACCUACAAUUUGUAUAAAUCUAUUAAGGUUUGAUUGGGGCAAUCUCGGAACCACCUAAACUUCCGAACUACACUCUAAUUAAUCUAAAAUUUGCUUUGGACUAAAAUGAAGUUACCCCGGGGAUAACAGCGUUAUCCAACUUAAGAGUACACAUCGAAAGUUGGGUUUGCGACCUCGAUGUUGGCUUAAGGACAUCCACAUAAGUGCAGCCGCUAUGAACGGAAAGUCUGUUCGACUAUUAUAACCUUA